rnacentral:rRNA from 1 species
CUGUACUGGCUGGUGAAUGGCUCGGCUCGAGAGCCGAUGACGGACGUGCCAAGCUGCGAUAAGCCUGAGGGAGCCGCACGGAGGCCAAGAACUCAGAUCUCCGAAUGGGAAUCCCCACUGCAAUUGCAUCUCGCAAUAGGGACGCCCCGAAUUGAAACAUCUUAGUAGGGCAGAACAGAAAGCACCGCGAUAUCGUUAGUAACCGCGAGUGACACGACCUAGUCCAA